GCAGCCAAGUCGUGAGGCGGAGCUAAUCCCUUAAAGCCAUUCUCAGUUCGGAUUGUAGGCUGAAACUCGCCUACAUGAAGCUGGAGUUACUAGUAAUCGCAGAUCAGAAUGCUGCGGUGAAUGCGUUCCCGGGUCUUGUACACACCGCCCGUCACACCACGGAAGUUGGGGGCGCCCGAAGCCACUUAGCUAACCCUUUUGGGAAGCGAGUGUCGAAGGUGAAAUCAAUAACUGGGGUGAAGUCGUAACAAGGUACC
rnacentral:rRNA from 1 species